UCCAGACUCCUACGGGAGGCAGCAGUGAGGAAUAUUGGUCAAUGGGCUUACGCCUGAACCAGCCAAGUCGCGUGAGGGAAGACUGCCCUAUGGGUUGUAAACCUCUUUUGUCAGGGAGCAACGCCGGCUACGUGUAGCCGGACUGAGAGUACCUGAAGAAAAAGCAUCGGCUAACUCCGUGCCAGCAGCCGCGGUAAUACGGAGGAUGCGAGCGUUAUCCGGAUUUAUUGGGUUUAAAGGGUGCGCAGGCGGAGGUGCAAGUCAGUGGUCAAAUUGCGGGGCUCAAACCCGCACUGCCGUUGAAACUGCGUCCCUUGAGUGCGCGAGAAGUAUGCGGAAUGCGUGGUGUAGCGGUGAAAUGCAUAGAUAUCACGCAGAACUCCGAUUGCGAAGGCAGCAUACCGGCGCGCAACUGACGCUCAUGCACGAAAGCGUGGGUAUCGAACAGGAUUAGAUACCCUAGUAAGA
rnacentral:rRNA from 1 species